ACACGCAUGACACACUGCAUAUCAAUAAGCGGAGGAAAAGAAACUAACAAGGAUUCCCUUAGUAACGGCGAGUGAAGCGGGAAGAGCUCAAAUUUGAAAUCUUCAAGGUUCUACCUUGACGAAUUGUAGUUUAUAGAAGUGUUUUCUGUUAGUAGAGUGGCUAAAAGUUCUUUGGAAUAGGACAUCAUAGAGGGUGAGAAUCCCGUAUUUGGUCAUUCAUUCUAGCUUUGUGAUACACUUUCAACGAGUCGGAUUGUUUGGGAAUGCAGCCCAAAAUGGGUGGUAAAUUUCAUCUAAAGCUAAAUAUUGGCGAGAGACCGAUAGCGAACAAGUACCGUGAGGGAAAGAUGAAAAGAACUUUGAAAAGAGAGUUAAACAGUACGUGAAAUUGUCAAAAGGGAAGCGUUUGACACCAGUGUUGUUUUUCCGAAAAUCAAUUACGAAUGUUUUAUUUUUGAGAAGUUAUGACUUCAUCGGCUUGCUUCUCUCUUUAUGAAACUUUCUUAAUGCACUUUUCGGUUAACAAGUCAACAUCAAUUUCUUUUGUUGUAAAAGGGUAAGAGGAAGGUGGCUUGCGCUUCGGCUCAAGUGUUUAUAGCCUUUUAUCUCUGCAAUCGGAGAGAUUGAGGUCUGCAGCGUAGAUCCUUCGGGGUUAGAUACAUUGGUGCUAAGCUAUAGCCUUGUAUAGACAACUUGUUGACUAUGCUCAGUCAUGUAGCUUACUCGCUGAUGCUAUUUUACCUACGCUUAGGAUGUUGAAGAUGUAGCACAUCAU
rnacentral:rRNA from 1 species